UACGGAGGGGGCAAGCGUUGUUCGGAAUUACUGGGCGUAAAGGGCGCGUAGGCGGCCACCGCAAGUCGACUGUGAAAUCUCCGGGCUUAACUCGGAAAGGUCAGCCGAUACUGCGGGGCUAGAGUGCAGAAGGGGCAACUGGAAUUCUCGGUGUAGCGGUGAAAUGCGUAGAUAUCUGGAGGAACACCGGUGGCGAAGGCGGCAUCCUGGACCGACACUGACGCUGAGGCGCGAAAGCUAGGGGAGCAAACGGG
rnacentral:rRNA from 1 species